rnacentral:misc_RNA from 1 species
CCUUGUUCCGCUUUCGGGCGAUCAGGUCGCGUUGUAACGACGGGCAUCGCCAUCUAGCGCACACGUGCAUGUGAUGCACUGAAUACUCGAACGGACCGUGUAUCGCUCUCGCCGCUAUUUUACCGUGUGCUUCGACUCGUGUGGGCGUGCUCCCUGCGCGCCAUCAUUCCCAAGCACACAUAUAGACGCAUAGAGAACACCGAGUUCAUCCUUCACGUUGGUGACCGACAUAGAACUGGGACAGCACCCCUGAGAACAGUCGCUCCUCCCCUCUAGCCCCGUCCCACCAAGCCCCAACCACAUUUUUCCUUCAGGUUUCAAUCAUCUAGAGACCUGCGCAUCAUGAACACCUCAACACCUGAUAAUUCAACGUCUGCAGCGGAGGCGUACGCGCUCUGGGGAGAGCGCAUUCGACUGCUGUUCAGCAGCCCGCCGUCUUUUAUCGAAGCUAGCCUUGAGCGAAACCCAUUUGAGCGUCACUCAUGCUGUGUGCCCACCGACUCCUUCGAUAUCGCAUCCGCUGCCGCGCCUCCAAUUCAGCGUGAAGCGGCCCUCCGCGCAUCGUCUGAAAGCGCGGCGGACACGGACGUGGCGGCGCACGCUGGAGCCUGCAACUCCUAUCCUGAUGAAGCGCUCUUUCCCUUCUGCUUCUAUGCGCGUCUCCUGCAAUCGCAGGGCGCAGCUUCAAGUUUGCCGUCUGCUGCCCGGCUCGCCAGCACACGCACUUCCACCCUUCUGCAGACUCAGCAGCUACGAGUGGACGAAGAGGAGAUGGCGGCGCGCCUCACUGAGCGACUGCGUGAGGGGACUUCGAUUGCGCGCGCACGCCAGCAGCGGCUACGCGAUGUCCCGCCAGGCAACCUUGUCUCCCCCUUUUGCGACCCCAAGGUGGAAAAGCAACAGGCACAGCUGCACUCGGAGUUGACUGCGUUUUUGCUGGAGUUGCGCCGGGAAAACCUCGCUUCCGUGCAGCUGCGCCAUCAGCUGCAGCACAGUCGCGCCUUGCGCGCGCACCUCCACAGCUUGGGCUCUUUUUCUGAUUCGUUCUGCGCGGAGUGAUCGUGCCGUGUUGCAUGCGGAAAAAAAAAAGAGAUUCACCGCUGAGCGUGUUUCUUGUCUCUUCUCCCACAGGAGUACCUAGUAUUGAUGAAGCUCCUCUCUCGCACCUUUGGGCUCCGCACACACACACUCGCAUGCGCACAUACCAGCGAUGAAUAAACGACAAAGAGCUAACACCGAGAAAAGAUAGUGACCAG